rnacentral:rRNA from 1 species
CAAUAGCGUAUAUUAAAGUUGUUGCAGUUAAAAAGCUCGUAGUUGGAUUUCUGGUGGGAGCGAUCGGUCUGGCGCUUAGCGCGAGUACUUGCAUCGUCUCCGGCCAUCCUUGGGGAGAGUCUGUCUGGCAUUAAGUUGUCGGGCAGAGGAUCCUCAUCGUUUACUGUGAAAAAAUUAGAGUGUUCAAAGCAGGCUUAUGCCGUUGAAUAUAUUAGCAUGGAAUAAUAAGAUAGGACUUUGGUACUAUUUUGUUGGUUUGCGCACCAAAGUAAUGAUUAAUAGGGACAGUUGGGGGUAGUCGUAUUCCGUUGUCAGAGGUGAAAUUCUUGGAUUUACGGAAGACGAACUACUGCGAAAGCAUUUACCAAGGAUGUUUUCAUUAA